rnacentral:rRNA from 1 species
UACGGAGGGUGCUAGCGUUAUCCGGAAUCACUGGGCGUAAAGGGCGCGUAGGCGGUUUGUUAAGUCCGAUGUUAAAGACUGGGGCUCAACCCCAGCACUGCGUUGGAUACUGGCAGACUGGACGGUUGGAGAGGCGAGUGGAAUUACCAGUGUAGCGGUGGAAUGCGUAGAUACUGGUAGGAACACCCAUUGCGAAGGCAGCUCGCUGGACAACACGUGACGCUGAGGCGCGAAAGUGUGGGGAGCAAACCGGAUUAGAACCCGUGUAGUCC